AUGCAGGAGAUUUUUGGCCCGAUGAGGUAUGCAUACACAGAUAUCGCUGCAAUCACAAACCAGUUCAGAGACAAGCUGGGCUUUGGAGGUUUCGGCUUCGUGUUUAAGGGUGUACUGCUUGAUGAUGUUCAUGUGGCCGUCAAGAUGCAAGAUGGCUCUAGCUGUAACAGAGAUGACUUCAUCAGUGAGGUUUCCACCAUCGGCACAAUCCACGACAUAUUUGUGGUGCGUCUAGUUGGGUUCUGCUCUGAGGAAAUUCAAAGCGUGUUGGUUUACGAGUACAUGCCAUGAGGUUCCCUCGACAAGUACAUCUUCUCGGCUGAUAAGACUUUCUCCUGGGACAAGCUCAAUGAGAUCGCUUGGGCCUUGCAGCGGUAUCAACUACCUCAUCAGAGUUGUGACAUGCAGAUUCUCUACUUUUAAAUCAAGCCGCACAACAUCUUGCCCGACAAUAAUUUCAUUCCCAAAGUUGCUGAUUUCGGCCUUGCUAAACUGUACCCAUGGGACAACAACUUUGUGCCCUCCAACGCCUUACGGGAACGGUUGGGUACAUAG
rnacentral:rRNA from 1 species